AUUCCUCGGACUUCGCGGUCACCUGAGCUGCCUUCGGAGCCGUUGGCAACAGCCGAGCUGCAUCCAGCGCACCGCCCAGCCCGCCCCUCUGCUCGCCGCAGCCCCGGCUCCUCCCUCGUCCGGCCCCCGGGGCGGGGUCUGUCGGCUCGCCCUCCCCUCUCAGCCUAAGCCUUCCCUCCGCGAACCGGGUCCCCUCCCCACAGCAAAACGGCUUCUCUUCCUCAGCUCAGCGACAGGGGCUUCCCCUUAGUCGCCGCCGCCGACGCUGCCGCCGCCGCCGCCGGCCGAGCCCCGCCGCAGCCGCGGCCCGCGGCCGCCAUGCAGUUUAUGUUGCUUUUUAGUCGUCAGGGAAAGCUUCGACUGCAGAAAUGGUAUGUCCCAUUAUCAGACAAAGAGAAGAAAAAGAUCACAAGAGAACUUGUUCAAACCGUUUUAGCACGGAAACCUAAAAUGUGCAGCUUUCUUGAAUGGCGAGAUCUGAAGAUUGUUUACAAAAGAUAUGCCAGUCUGUAUUUUUGCUGUGCUAUUGAGGACCAGGACAACGAACUAAUUACCCUGGAAAUAAUUCAUCGUUACGUGGAAUUACUUGACAAGUAUUUUGGCAGUGUGUGUGAACUUGAUAUCAUUUUUAAUUUUGAGAAGGCUUAUUUUAUUUUGGAUGAGUUUCUUUUGGGAGGAGAAGUUCAGGAGACAUCCAAGAAGAAUGUCCUUAAAGCAAUUGAGCAGGCUGAUCUACUGCAGGAGAGCCAGAAUGAAGAAUGGGGAGGUUUGUCUGAGGAUAUCUUAUGAUAAAGAGCAGUCUAAGGCUUUAGUCCCUUUGACCCCCAACUUAUUUAUUGUUGAUUGCAUGAGCCCUAGGAUUGAGACCUGCACAGGGACCUGCAAAGAACAUAUUCCUAGGUGUUGGUGAUGGUUUUGUUUAUUUAUGUAUUUAUUUUUUAAAAUUAAAGUAAGUUGACAUGAUUUUAAAAAAAAAAGUACUUUCUGAAAAAUUUCAGUGUUUGAGUUCUUUUUUUACGCUCCUCUGAGACAUUGGUGGGGUUUUUUUUGCUUUUUCUGUGGUCUUUUUUAAAAUAAAAAUUCCCACUAUAGGAAUACAAGCAAAGACACUAGAAUAUAAUCUUACCCACCAACCAGAGAAUUAGAUUAAUUCUGGUUCUCAACUGGAGUUGGGAGUAGGGCAGUUGUGCCUCCUCAGGGGACACUGAGCAAUGGCUGGACACAUUUUUGAUUGUUACUACUAGCCACUACUAGCCAUGAGGUGCCACUGGCAUCUAGUAGGUGAAGAUCAAAGAUGCUAUUAAAUAUCUAACAAUGCCCAGAACAGCCCUCUCAGAGUAAGAAAUUAUCCAGCCUCAAGUGUCAAUGGUGCUGAGGUCCAGAAACCCUGGUUUAAUUUAACACCAUGUAAUAUAUAAAGAUUUCAUUUACAGAUUUCAUUUAUAUUUAUGGACUGCUACAUCUUUUCGAUAUAAUAUGCAGAUAACAAAUGACUAGCCAAAAAUGAAUCAAAAGUAUAAGGGGAAAAAAACCCUAAAAAUUGUGAAGAAAGGAAUAAAUGUGCUCAAGAACAUGUAAAUGGCUAUAAAACUCACCUCUGUGAUUAACCAAAAUUACUUUUACUUGAUCAAAAAUAACUUUUGAUAACCAGAGAUAACCCACAGCAAAACUUACGGGAUGUCACUGUAUAAUUUAAUUUCCUCAACAACUAAAUCUGUUAACAUUUAUUCAUGUUAUUUAGUUUUUGUCUGGAAACAAAAUUGAGCAUACCCUGUAGGCAGUUAGAACACUUGAACUUGCUGCCAAUUUCCCUAUCCACCUUAGGGAUUUGAUAAUUCCUUAUGAGAGGAAUAGUUUAAAUGACCAGAAAUUACAUAUAUAAUAUAGACUUAUAUUGUACAUACAUACUUUAUUGUUUUUCUUUUAUGCCCUAUUAGCCUUAUAGAAUUUACUUAGUAAAGAGAAUAUUUGAAAUUCAGUGAUUCCAAGAAAUCAUUUAUAUUUUGAAAACCUUGGUUAAAUUUAGGGCAUUUCAAGUUAUGAUCCAAAUGGAAGACCAAGACAAAUACAAUACAAUUACCCUAAGAUGUACUUAAAACUAUUUCUUUACAGUCUAAAGUUAUAUUUACUAAGUUAAUUAUUCUGCUUCUUUAUUUUUAUUUUUUUGGUUUGUUUCUUGGAUUGGCAAAGAAUUGUUUUCUCCUUAUGAGCACUUAAAUUUGUAUUCUAUUUUGGAGGAUUAGUUUAGUGAUAUCUAUUAACAAAUGUGUACACUUUUUGCCCCAUUAGUUAUACUUGAAGGAAUUUUAUCCAACAGAAAUACACAAAUGCACUAAGACACACGCUGGGUAUAAUACUAAACCAUUGGAACCUAAUCAGAUGUCCAUCAAUGGGAAAUAGGUUAAGAAAAUUACAGUAUACCAUAUAUGAAACUGUUACCUGGCUAUAAAAGAAAUGAGAUCAAUUUCUAUGUAAUGAUAUGGAAAGAUACUCAAGGUUUAUCAAGUAAGAAAAGAUCCAGGAAUAGGACAUUAAAAGUAUUACCUCUGAUGAUAUUUGAGGUCCCCCCACCUCCUGUUUUAAAACAUGUAAUGUAAAAAAAAAAUCACUCAACUUUCCUAGUGCUUCAGAAGUGCUUGUGAAAUAAGACACCAUGAGUCCUGUCAUCUAAAAGAUACCACAUUAAGUGCUUUCAUUUUUUUCUCUUUUUACCCAUUGCUAAAAAGAGAUCUUCAUGAGUUUGGACACUCAGCGGCCCUUUGGUCUUUAGAUCAAGGAAUAGGGUUCCAGAGGUAAGAGUAAGGACUUUGCCACAGUAUUCAAUAAAAACUACCACUGUAUUCUAGAACAUGAAGGACUAAGGAUACUACAUUAUAGUGCAUGGAAUAAGUGAAGCCCCUUUAAGAAAAACUG